rnacentral:rRNA from 1 species
GAUGAACGCUAGCGGGAGGCCUAAUACAUGCAAGUCGAACGGUAACAGGUAGCAAUACGCUGACGAGUGGCGCACGGGUGAGUAACACGUACACAACCUGCCUAUGACUGGGGCAUAACUUCGGGAAACUGAAGCUAAUUCCCCAUAACACUGCAGAAAGGCAUCUUUCAGCAGUUAAAGCCCCGGCGGUCAUAGAUGGGUGUGCGUUUGAUUAGCUAGUUGGUAAGGUAACGGCUUACCAAGGCUACGAUCAAUAACUGGUCUGAGAGGAUGAUCAGUCACACUGGAACUGAGACACGGUCCAGACUCCUACGGGAGGCAGCAGUGGGGAAUAUUGGACAAUGGGCGAAAGCCUGAUCCAGCCAUGCCGCGUGUGUGAAGAAGGUCUUCGGAUUGUAAAGCACUUUAAGUUGGGAGGAAGGGCAUUAACCUAAUACGUUAGUGUUUUGACGUUACCAACAGAAUAAGCACCGGCUAACUUCGUGCCAGCCGCCGCGGUAAAAC